CUCCAACGAGCGCAACCCUGAUCUAGCCAUGCCGCGUGAAGGAAGAAGGCUUUCGGGUUGUAAACUUCUUUGACAGGGGAAGAGUAGAAGACGGUACCCUGAAAACAAGCCACGGCUAACUACGUGCCAGCAGCCGCGGUAAUACGUAGGUGGCAAGCGUUGUCCGGAUUUACUGGGUGUAAAGGGCGUGCAGCCGGGAAGGCAAGUCAGAUGUGAAAUCCGUGGGCUUAACCCACGAACUGCAUUUGAAACUGCUUUUCUUGAGUAUCGGAGAGGUAAUCGGAGUUCCUAGUGUAGCGGUGAAAUGCGUAGAUAUUAGGAAGAACACCAGUGGCGAAGGCGGAUUACUGGACGACAACUGACGGUGAGGCGCGAAAGCGUGGGG
rnacentral:rRNA from 1 species